CCGACACAGGUGUCAGGUAGAGGAUACUAAGGAGUUCGAGAGAACUGUGGUUAAGGAACUCGGCAAAAUGCCCCCGUAACUUCGGGAGAAGGGGGACCAUUACUGGUUGCUGACAGCAUGAUGGCUGGUGGUGGUCGCAGAGGAGAGAGGGAAGCGACUGUUUAUUAAAAACACAGGUCCGUGCGAAAACGUGGAAGUUGAGGUAUACGGACUGACUCCUGCCCGGUGCUGGAAGGUUAAGAGGACCCGUGAGUGCAUCUUUGUGGUGUGCGAGGCGGAGAAUUGAAGCCCCGGUAAACGGCGGCCGUAACAAUAACGGUCCUAAGGUAGCGAAAUUCCUUGUCGGGUAAGUUCCGACCUGCACGAAUGGCGUAACGAUUUCCCUACUGUCUCCUCCUGAGACUCAGCGAAGUUGAAAUGUUUGUGAUGAUGCAAUCUCCCCGCGGAAAGACGGAAAGACCCCAUGAACCUUUACUGUAGCUUUGUAUUGGACUUUGAACAGAUCUGUGUAGGAUAGGUGGGAGGCUUUGAAGCAGGGUCGCUAGAUCUUGUGGAGCCAACGUUGAAAUACCACCCUGGUGUGUUUGAGGUUCUAACCUAGGUCCAUUAUCUGGAUCGGGGACAGUGCAUGGUAGGCAGUUUGACUGGGGCGGUCUCCUCCCAAAGCGUAACGGAGGAGUUCGAAGGUACGCUAGUUACGGUCGGACAUCGUGACGAUAGUGCAAUGGCAUAAGCGUGCUUAACUGCGAGACUGACAAGUCGAGCAGAUGCGAAAGCAGGACAUAGUGAUCCGGUGGUUCUGUAUGGAAGGGCCAUCGCUCAACGGAUAAAAGGUACUCUGGGGAUAACAGGCUGAUACCGCCCAAGAGUUCAUAUCGACGGCGGUGUUUGGCACCUCGAUGUCGGCUCAUCUCAUCCUGGGGCUGAAGCAGGUCCCAAGGGUAUGGCUGUUCGCCAUUUAAAGAGGUACGCGAGCUGGGUUUAGAACGUCGUGAGACAGUUCGGUCCCUAUCUACCGUGGGCGUUGGAAAUUUGAGAGGAUCUGCUCCUAGUACGAGAGGACCAGAGUGGACGAACCUCUGGUGUUUCGGUUGUGACGCCAGUCGCAUUGCCGAGUAGCUAUGUUCGGAUGGGAUAACCGCUGAAAGCAUCUAAGCGGGAAGCCCACCUUAAGAUUAGAUUUCCCUAAAGAGCCGUUGUAGACUACGACGUUGAUAGGUUGGGUGUGGAAGCAUAGUGAUAUGUGUAGCUAACCAAUACUAAUUGCUCGUUUGGCUUGACU
rnacentral:rRNA from 1 species